GCUUGUCUCAAAGAUUUAAGCCCAUGGCAUGUCUAAGUAUAAGCAAUUAUACGGGGAAACUGCGAAUGGCUCAUUAUAUAAGUUAUCGUUUAUUUGAUAGUACUUUACUACUUGGAUAACCGUGGUAAUUCUAGAGCUAAUACAUGCUAAAAAUCCCGACUUCGGAAGGGAUGUAUUUAUUAGAUUAAAAACCAAUGCCCUUUGGGCUCCUUGGUGAAUCAUGAUAACUUCUCGAAUCGCAUGGCCUUGCGCCGGCGAUGGUUCAUUCAAAUUUCUUCCCUAUCAACUUUCGAUGUUUGGGUAUUGGCCAAACAUGGUCGCAACGGGUAACGGAGGGUUAGGGCUCGACCCCGGAGAAGGAGCCUGAGAAACGGCUACUACAUCCAAGGAAGGCAGCAGGC
rnacentral:rRNA from 1 species